GAUGAACGCUGGCGGCGUGCCUAAUACAUGCAAGUCGAACGAAGAUCUAGCUUGCUAGAUCUUAGUGGCGAACGGGUGAGUAAUACAUAAAUAAUCUGCCCAUAUGACUGGGAUAACUAUUGGAAACGAUAGCUAAUACUGGAUAGGUUGAUCGGAGGCAUCUCUGAUGAAUUAAAGUAGGAUUUCUACACAAAUGGAUGAGCUUAUGGCGCAUUAGUUAGUUGGUGGGGUAACGGCCUACCAAGACGAUGAUGCGUAGCCGACCUGAGAGGGUGACCGGCCACACUGGGACUGAGACACGGCCCAGACUCCUACGGGAGGCAGCAGUAGGGAAUUUUCGGCAUGGGCGCAAGCCUGACCGAGCAACGCCGCGUGAGUGAUUAAGGCCUUCGGGUUGUAAAGCUCUGUUGUAAGGGAAGAACAUUCAGGAUAGGAAAUGAUCUUGAACUGACGGUACCUUACCAGAAAGCCACGGCUAACUACGUGCCAGCAGCCGCGGUAA
rnacentral:rRNA from 1 species